rnacentral:rRNA from 1 species
GACGAACGCUGGCGGCGUGCCUAAUACAUGCAAGUAGAACGCUGAAGAGAGGAGCUUACUCUUCUUGGAUGAGUUGCGAACGGGUGAGUAACGCGUAGGUAACCUGCCUUGUAGCGGGGGAUAACUAUUGGAAACGAUAGCUAAUACCGCAUAACAAUGGAUGACACAUGUCAUUUAUUUGAAAGGGGCAAUUGCUCCACUACAAGAUGGACCUGCGUUGUAUUAGCUAGUAGGUGAGGUAAUGGCUCACCUAGGCGACGAUACAUAGCCGACCUGAGAGGGUGAUCGGCCACACUGGGACUGGGACACGGCCCCGACUCCUACGGGAGGCAGCAGUAGGGAAUCUUCGGCAAUGGGGGCAACCCUGACCGAGCAACGCCGCGUGAGUGAAGAAGGUUUUCGGAUCGUAAAGCUCUGUUGUAAGUCAAGAACGGGUGUGAGAGUGGAAAGUUCACACUGUGACGGUAGCUUACCAGAAAGGGACGGCUAACUACGUG